CAGUCGUGGUGUUGACGGCUGUGGUUGGGUCUCCAGAAGUAUCAUCCCCACACGAUCCCGAGUGAAUCUCACACAGUAUUCGGUUUGUUGUAAUGGACUGGAACCAAAGCUGCAGUAUCUCUGAGGUGAGCCUGGAAGAGCAUCGUCCCUAGGAGGAAUUUGGUGAAUGAAAUGACCUUCAGCCCCUUUCCAGCCUCCUUGAUAAUGGGGUGAACACAGGAAGCACAUCCAGCUCAGGCGUGGAAACCAGAAGUCACCCGAGGGACAGGCAGAAGGCCCAGGUGAUGACGGCCAGAUCUGCAGUUGCACUCCCCACCUUUCACGGGCUCAGUGGCCACGAGAUCUAGCAGCACAGAUGAAGAACACUUCUGUCGUCACGGAAACUUGUCGGACACCACCGCUCUAAAGGGCAGGUCUCCAGGCCUAGCCCUGUGGCCUGGGUCAGGUGAACGACGCUGUCGAGACCUCACGGCCCCCCGUCCCGGCUUUGGUGAAGGAUUUCACUGGUCGUUGGCUCAUCGGAGGCUUUCAGAGGGAAGUUCAGGU
rnacentral:lncRNA from 1 species